rnacentral:rRNA from 1 species
GACGAACGCUGGCGGCGUGCCUAACACAUGCAAGUCGAACGGGACUGGGGGCAACUCCAGUUCAGUGGCGGACGGGUGCGUAACACGUGAGGAACAUAACUUUCGGCGGGGGAUAGCCGGCCCAACGGCCGGGUAAUACCGCGUACGACCUUUCGGGGACAUCCCCGGUUGGUGAAAGCAGCAAUGCACCGAAAGAGUGCCUCGCGGCCUAUCAGCUAGUUGGUGGGGUAACGGCUCACCAAGGCGACGACGGGUAGCUGGUCUGAGAGGAUGGCCAGCCACAUUGGGACUGAGACACGGCCCAGACUCCUACGGGAGGCAGCAGUGGGGAAUAUUGCGCAAUGGGCGAAAGCCUGACGCAGCGACGCCGCGUGUGGGAUGACGGCCUUCGGGUUGUAAACCACUGUCGGGAGGGACGAAUACGCCGCAAGGCGGGUGACGGUACCUCCAAAGGAAGCACCGGCUAACUCCGUGCCAGCAGCCGCCGUAAUAC